UGUCUUGUCUUGCAGACGCUAGACUUCUAAAAACAACUGCGCCAUGAAGUGGAUCAAAACCCAAAACAGUAAUAUCUAGCUUGCAAAGCUUGUGGCCUUAUUUUAGCUGUGAAAAUUUCGGAAGCACACUAAAAUUUUCAAUGGUUGAUAUAGGGAGAAGCCUGAACGUUGGAUGAAUAUACAGAUGUGCAGUCUGAGAGACUGAAGCAAGCUUAUGACAGAGGGUGUUUCCCAAUUAUGGUGAUGAACUAGAUGCUGCCACCCAAAUUCCAUGAAUUCCUAUAGGAAGCUUAUGAAUAUUCCUAAAAAUAGUUUUCACUAUCCGUGCCAUUAAAUGACUGUACUGUUAACAUAAAGCCAGCAUUAACCAGUGUGAAAAUCUAUAUUAGAUGAAACAAGCAGGGUAACCUGAUCAGCCUCCUGUCUGAAUGCAGUAGCAACCUGAUCAAUAUCUGACUCAUAAGUUAAAAAAAGUGGACGGAUAAUGCUUUGAUAGAUUAUUGUUGACCCAUUCCAUGUGGUUGGGGCAAAGCAGAAUACCAGGAAAGUACACUGUUGAUUCAAAUAAUACUGUUAUAAUUUACUGCACCACCUCUGUAUAGGUUUAGGCAAUAUUUUACCUUUGCUAGCCAAUACAGUGGGAACCAGGUCAGUAAGAUAUCCGAAAAGAAUUCGACCAUGCCGAAGAAUGCAUAAACAACCCAAUAGGUAAGCCACUUCGUGUCGUCAUCUUUUUGUUUCGUUUCGAUUGCUUUAAUCGAUGCAUAGGAAGGAUAAACGAAUCCAAUGAAGUUACACACUAGCUGGGCACCAAAACCAACAACUAAAUAGACAGCAAGAAAGCCGA